CCACUAAAACCAACCAACUACCCACCAGCAGCUCCCAACAACAACUCAAACCUCGGGCUAAGCCCUUUUAUACACAGUCUUCAGUGAAUCUCUGCUCUCGUCGAUUCCGGAUCCUUCCUGUUAAUUUAUCAAGUUCUGCGUAUUCCAUUAAUUUCAUUCUCCAUUCUUCAAUCGUAGAUUCCCUUCUGGAGAAAGUCAGCUCAGGUACAGGAACCCACUCUACAUCUUCUGCAAUGAAGACAGAAGCAGAGAGUUAAUUCAGCUUCUUUACCAUCACACAAGCCCAAGAGAAGAGCCAAACAGCAGCUUCAAAAUGGCCCUGAAAGUCCCUUCUCCAGGCAAUGGAGAAGGGACUUUCCAGUUCAUUUUGAAGCUUUUCUCUCUCUCUCUCUUUUUUUUUUUUUUUUUUUUGUCUUCCUUCGUACAUGUCUCACUCUUUGGUUUCUCUAGCAAUGAGCUUCCCAGUUCUUUUAAAAGCACCCCCGCCCCCUCUUGUAGAAAAGUGUUUCUAUCAGAAACAAUUGAGAAAUCUGGGUGUAGAAAUAGCAUUCAACAUAUGUUGAAAAAUAUUCUUUGUGUUUUUACGUGUUCCUGGCUGAGCCCGGGUGAACCUAUAUAACUCCUCCCUCCUCCAUCUCUGUACCUGAAAUGUACCUUUGAGCGGAGUCAGUUAGGAUGCACAUAUACACAGACCUGCAUUUAUAUACAUAUCACUAUAUAUUAUUAUAUAGAGUGUGGAACUAUGCACAUUGCUAAGAACAUGUGGGAGAGCCAGUGUGGUGUA